rnacentral:lncRNA from 1 species
AUAAACUUCAUCGUUUUUAUUCUGCAAAGCAAUAUGCACAUCUUACAAACACAAAAUUAAUCUAGGAGAGAAAUGUCAUUUCCAAAUCAGCUAUUAACCAUCAUGCAACAAGACAAGUGAAAUGUAAGAACAAAACCAAAACAGCCAUCUUAACCCUACAAUCACCUGCAGAGGGUUGAAAACCAAGGCUCAGAUUUUUUCUAUGUAAUGCCAAAGGAAAAUGCAAAAGAAAAUGGCAGCUUUCUAAGAACAAGAAAACACGUACAAAUAGAAUCAAAACUGAUUCAAGUCAUAGUUCAAAAGAAAAAGAAAACAAAACAAAAAAGGAAAGAUCAAUAUGAUCUGAACUUUAAGUUUUUACUCUUCUGUUUGGCUGCAUUUAACUUUUGUACAUUGCGCCUAGGAACAAUCCAGUAUUCCUGAACAUUGCAGCAUUUCAGCCUGAUGGACACCCUCUCUGCUGCAAUACAGGGGUGCAAAGGAGUGAACUAAGGCCAAAAACCACAACUUUUAAGGUUUUCCCUUUUGUGGUUGUGGGUCACAAUCUAAGUACUUCUGGGUACUUCAGGAUAGUGGGUGAUUAAGUUAUAAAGCAGGUUCCUUUAGUUACCCAAGAGUGAAAAAGAGAUUCAAAAAGCCCAAUAAAUCUGCUUUCCCCAACAGACCAAAUUCCAGUUUGGACAUUUGGAGUUUGAUUUUAAAUUUGCUGAAACAGAAAUGACUUGGCUCUGCUAUUUUAAAGGAGUUAUGUUGAGUGUUUUCUAUUUGCACCACCACCCCAAUCCGUUUCCUAUUCCUGCCUUUGGUCCCCAGAUCAAGCCACCCUCACAGGCAACUCUCCAAGUCAGGAUUGAUGCAGAAGGCUGGGUGUGUGUGAUAAGGAACAGCUUGGACAGUUUCCAUGAGAAGCCAUCUACCUUGUUUGACUUCAUGCAUUCAUUUCAGUGAAGCAGUGUGAGCCCAUAGCAGCAUCAGGAGAAAACUGGAAGCUUCAUUUUAUCCCUAGACUUCAAACUAAGCCAUCUCUAAAGCUUUGCCUUAACGUCCCUGGAGGAAAACACGUUAGUUAAUACCACUUAAGUAACUGGAAUUCUAUAAAGGAAACAUGUUCUGAAGAAAAGUGUGACUAUUUUGCUUCAAAUGCUUUGAAGACUGGUGAAGUGACUGAAGUCCCACACAUACAGACCAGCAGGAUACCAUUAAAUAGUGACUACAGGGUGUAACCCAAGAAUCUUAUGCCAGCAUAAUUGAGACGGUGAGAUAUUUGACUUGGGUUUCUUCUUUUGUGUAGUUUAGAGCAAAAGGAGGAGAGAAAAAAAGCCUCUGUGUAUGUAUGCAGACCUACAGUUAUACUACCUGACCAGAAAGCUGAAAGACAAGAUGAAAGGUCAAUUAAGGCAACCAGUGAGAUUGUAAAAGCAGUGGUGGAAAUGUCUGCAGGAAAAGCUUAAGGAAGCUGCUCAAUCAGAAGCCAGAAUGAACAGCAAAAGCCAGAACGGGAAAGGGAGAAAUGCAUGGAAUAAAAGAUCUACCCUAAGAAUGGACACAGAGAACAGUAUGUGUUUUACCGUGUGGUUUCUGUGACCUUAAUCACAACAGCCCUGGUCUUCUCCUUGUCCUUCUCCCCUGAGUGGACAGCAUUACAUGGAAAUGGGCAAAGCUAAUGAAAGUGUCAUUUUCAGCUGCCCUUCAGAGAUGGCUGGAGAGUCCCAAAGUGAAGCUUUGUAAGAGACUAUGGGAUUUCUUAUUCUUUCAUUAUUUGCACUUGCCCAAAGCUGUGCAGAGCCCCAGCAGACUGUUCAAACAAUGCACCUUUUUAUUAGCUUUCCACUUUCUAGGAAGAAAACCAAGAGGUUACAGAAAGCUGCUCUGCAGCAGAGACACCCAAUCCUGGUCUGAGGGCUGCGGAUGGGAGCUCAAGUGGAAAGCCUUCCAGGUAGUCUCUGUGCUGACCGGUUCUCUGGUAUUCAGCAAGCCAAAUGAAACAAAAAGAAUGACAAAGAAAAAGAACAAAAUAAUCAGACUUCAUACUUUCCAGUAAGAAACCUUUUAAAAUGGGACUUCACUUCUUUUUUUUUCUUUUUACUAUGAAUAAAAGCACAAGUUUGUCCUAAAUACAGCACUAUUAAAAUGUGAAUAUGUAUUUCUUUGUUUCCCCAAAAAAAAAAA